UCCUGCUUAACGCAGGCGGUCCCACUAGAGUGCCCAACUAAAUGCUGGCAACUAAUGGUAAGGGUUGCGCUCGUUGCGGGACUUAACCCAACAUCUCACGACACGAGCUGACGACAGCCAUGCAGCACCUGUCUAAGAGCCCGAAGGCGACCUCAUUUCUGAGAGUCUUCCCUUAGAUGUCAAGACCAGGUAAGGUUCUUCGCGUUGCAUCGAAUUAAACCACAUGCUCCACCGCUUGUGCGGGCCCCCGUCAAUUUCUUUGAGUUUUAAUCUUGCGACCGUACUCCCCAGGCGGGACACUUAACGCGUUAACUACGGCACUGAAGGGGUCAAUACCUCCAACACCAAGUGUCCAUCGUUUACGGCGUGGACUAC
rnacentral:misc_RNA from 1 species